UACGUAGGGUGCGAGCGUUAAUCGGAAUACUGGGCGUAAAGCGUGCGCAGGCGGCGCGUUAAGACAGGUGUGAAAGCCCCGAGCUUAACUUGGGAAUUGCGCUUGUGACUGGCGUGCUGGAGUGUGGCAGAGGGAGGUGGAAUUCCACGUGUAGCAGUGAAAUGCGUAGAGAUGUGGAGGAACACUGAUGGCGAAGGCAGCCUCCUGGGCCAGCACUGACGCUCAUGCACGAAAGCGUGGGGAGCAAACAGG
rnacentral:rRNA from 1 species